AGCAGCCGCGGUAAUUCCAGCUCCAAUAGCGUAUAUUAAAGUUGUUGCAGUUAAAAAGCUCGUAGUUGAAUUUCGGGAUCAAUAUAUUGGUCAUGCUUAGGUAUGUACUGGUAUUAUUGAUUUCUCCCUUCUGAAGAACCAUGAUGUCAUUAAUUUGAUGUCGUGGGGAAUCAGGACUGUUACUUUGAAAAAUUAGAGUGUUUAAAGCAGGCUUUCGCUUGAAUACAUUAGCAUGGAAUAAUGAAAUAGGACGUUUGAUUCUAUUUUGUUGGUUUCUAGGAUCGACGUAAUGAUUAAUAGGGAUAGUUGGGGGCAUUAGUAUUCAAUUGUCAGAGGUGAAAUUCUUGGAUUUAUUGAAGACUAACUACUGCGAAAGCAUUUGCCAAGGAUGUUUUCAUUAAUCAAGAACGAAAGUUAGGGGAUCGAAGACGAUCAGAUACCGUCGUAGUC
rnacentral:rRNA from 1 species